CUCCAGGGAAUACUGAGGAGACUGUGGAGAAAAAGGCAGAAGUAGAUGUUGCGCUGCUACCUUGCCCAGCCCUCAGCCAGUGGAGCCACUUUCAGGCCUUCGAUUCCCAGAGUGCCUAGGCCUCCUUACAUGCAAGCACCACUCUGGGGUAUGUGCCAGGUUGACUCUGAGCAGCUGUCAUCCAGUCCUGUGUGUUGCAGGGCCUGAAUCUCUGAAAUCCAAGACAAGAACUCAAGGCACCAUCUUGGAAUCAGACACCAUGCCCUCACCCGAUACUGAACCUACCAGCACCUUGAUCUUGGACAUUCAAGCCUCUAGAAUGGUAAAAAAUGCAUUUCUAUUAUUUAUAAAUUGCCCAGUCUCGGGUAUUUUGUUACAGCAGCAUAAGAAGACUGAGAUACUUGGUCGUACGGCAGUUGUACUCAACUACUCAACUAUGCAAUUAAGAAUGAUUUCUUUGAUGUCACCAAAAUAUUUCUACCCUGUAUUACUAUAUAUCUGAUACCAUAAAAAGAGAAAAAAUAAAUUGUAUUAUAACUACCACAACUUCACACCCUUAUUCAUUUUUGCCUAAUUUUUUACAUACACCUUCCCCUUAAAGUUGAUCAAUAGUCACAAAUCAAUAUAAGUAUUUAUUACCAUUUGCCAUGUACAUUUAUAACUAUUGAUAACUAGAUUAAUGAAUAUAAAACUGAAGGGUUUCAUCCUUUUUAAACGCAAAACAUAUGUUGUGAGCUUCAAAAUAUUUGAAAACUUUUACCUUCAGAUUUGUCUUAAAAUCAAUUCUGUUAUCUUAACUAGAAAUAAUGGAAUCUAGCCUGGGGUGGUUGUUAAAAUCAAAGUGACUUCAUAAAGUGGAUCUAAUUCAAGUGAGAG
rnacentral:lncRNA from 1 species